rnacentral:rRNA from 1 species
AACGCGAAGAACCUUACCAAGGCUUGACAUAUAGAGGAAAAGUGCAGAAAUGCACUCCCCGUAAGGUCUCUAUACAGGUGGUGCAUGGUUGUCGUCAGCUCGUGUCGUGAGAUGUUGGGUUAAGUCCCGCAACGAGCGCAACCCUCGUCCUAUGUUGCCAGCACGUAAUGGUGGGAACUCAUGGGAUACUGCCGGGGUCAACUCGGAGGAAGGUGGGGAUGACGUCAAAUCAUCAUGCCCCUUAUGUCUUGGGCUUCACGCAUGCUACAAUGGCCGGUACAGAGGGCUGCAAUACCGUAAGGUGGAGCGAAUCCCAAAAAGCCGGUCUCAGUUCGGAUUGAGGUCUGCAACUCGACCUCAUGAAGUCGGAGUCGCUAGUAAUCGUAGAUCAGCAACGCUACGGUGAAUACGUUCCCGGGUCUUGUACACACCG